rnacentral:lncRNA from 1 species
UGGGGAUCACAUCAGGGUGGUGGUGGAGUCCACCUUCUGGCGUAGGAUGUCAUCUGCCAACUAGUUGGAGAGGGUGGUUUAGGGAUUUAGUCCCCUAUGGCUUGGCAUAGAGACAGGCCAUAGGUUUAAAGGGCCGUGUCAGGCAUGCCCAUAUAGUAAACAGGCUUAAACAAAACCCUAGGCCUGGCACGGCCCUAGGCCCAGGGGUGCAGGUUGUGCCAGGCACGGCCCGUUUGCCCAUUAGGCCCGCAUGCCUGAUGGACCUAUUUUUUUACAAAAAUUUUAAAAUAUAAAAAUUAAAAAUAUUAAGUAAUAAAAGUA